rnacentral:sRNA from 1 species
AUGGAUUUAAAACUAUCAAACCAUGUUUUCAAUGCUUUAAAACAACAUGCCUACUCAGAAGAACGUCGAAGUGCGCGCCUACAUGAGAAAAAGGAGCAUUCUACAGCACAUGGAGGAUGAAAAGGAAGAUAGUAAAAUUAUACCUACAGAAUGUGCCAUCAAGAAUGCAGAGAGCUGGAAUUCCUUGUCCAACAGUUGUACUACUGAAGAAACACAUUUUAGUUAUGUCUUUUAUUGGCCGUGAUCAAGUUCCAGCCCCUAAAUUAAAAGAAGUAAAGCUCAAUAGUGAAGAAAUGAAAGAAGCCUACUAUCAGACUCUUCAUUUGAUGCGGCAGUUAUAUCAUGAAUGUACGCUUGUCCAUGCUGACCUCAGUGAGUAUAACAUGCUGUGGCAUGCUGGAAAGGUGAGGAGAACAUUUUGUUAACAUUCAGAUUUAAUUACUUUAAGUAAAAUUUAAAAUGUAAAUACAUCAGUUCAUGUUCUGUAUUGAAAUAGGUCUGGUUGAUCGAUGUCAGUCAGUCAGUAGAACCUACCCACCCUCAUGGCCUGGAGUUCUUGUUCCGGGACUGCAGGAAUGUCUCGCAGUUUUUCCAGAAAGGAGGCGUCAAGGAAGCCCUUAGUGAACGAGAACUCUUCAAUGCUGUUUCAGGCUUAAACAUCUCAGCAGAUAAUGAAGCUGAUUUUUUAGCUGAGAUAGAAGCUUUGGAGAAAAUGAAUGAAGAUCACGUUCAGAAGAAUGGAAGGAAAGCUGCUUCAUUUUUGAAAGAUGGAGACCCACCACUACUAUAUGAUGAAUAGCACUAAUACCCACUGCUUCAGUGUUAACACAGCAGUGAUUGUCAGCUGCCAAUAGCAAAUGAAGUUAUGGGUGACUUGAAAUACCA